rnacentral:rRNA from 1 species
UUCGGCCGGUAAAGGAUGGGGAUGCGUCUGAUUAGCUUGCCGGCGGGGUAACGGCCCACCGGGGCGACGAUCAGUAGGGGUUCUGAGAGGAAGGUCCCCCACAUUGGAACUGAGACACGGUCCAAACUCCUACGGGAGGCAGCAGUGAGGAAUAUUGGUCAAUGGGCGCGAGCCUGAACCAGCCAAGUAGCGUGCAGGACGACGGCCCUAUGGGUUGUAAACUGCUUUUAUACGGGGAUAAAGUAUGCCACGUGUGGUUUAUUGCAGGUACCGUAUGAAUAAGGACCGGCUAAUUCCGUGCCAGCAGCCGCGGUAAUACGGAAGGUCCGGGCGUUAUCCGGAUUUAUUGGGUUUAAAGGGAGCGUAGGCCGGGUUUUAAGCGUGCCGUGAAAUGUCGGGGCUCAACCUUGACACUGCGGCGCGAACUGGAGUCCUUGAGUGCGCGGAACGUAUGCGGAAUUCGUGGUGUAGCGGUGAAAUGCUUAGAUAUCACGAAGAACCCCGAUUGCGAAGGCAGCAUACGGCAGCGCUACUGACGCUGAAGCUCGAAGGCGCGGGUAUCGAACAGGAUUAGAUACCCUGGUAGUCCGCGCGGUAAACGAUGGAUGCCCGCUGUUGGCGAUAUAUUGUCA